AAAAAAUUUCCAAAACGUUCUUUCUUCAAUCCUGUUACCAUUUUCAAUUCUCUUUCUUUUUGAAAUUUUCUUCAAUCCGGGUUUCUUGACCAUUCCUCUUCCAUGGGUUCUUCGUUGUAGAUCGACUCAUCUCUAACCAGUGAAAUACCCAGCUUGAUUGCUUGUAAACAAGCGAAUGCCUCUGCAAGAAAUGGGGAUGAGACAUUGGAAUGAAGGGUUGUUUUUAAGACUCUUAUCUCUCCCUUCCAGUUUCGUACAAUGACCCCCGACGCUGAUCUGGACCUGUUUGCAUCAAAAGCUGCAUCAAAUUGUAUUGUGUCCUCCAUUUUCUCCUCCGUCUCUGUAUUUUGGCAGUCUUCAAGGUACGUCUUUCCUUACCCACUCCUUCAAGUUCUGCUAUAUAGCUCUCUACUUUCUGUGUAAGGUUCCUUCCUGAUGUGUUUUUUCUCAUGUACCAUUUGAUUUCGUGAGCUCCAUAUGAUCCAUAAAGCGCAACAAAACAUCUGACACUGUUCCUUAGUUCCUUUUGCAAAUACCCAUUAAUUGUAGGGCAUUGCUGGAAUACAUGGAAGCUGUCCUCUUCCCCGGAGCCACAACGAGGGCAUCUCACGUUUGUGGUUAUUCGCUUGUAUCGUAGGUUGGCUAGUGUAGGAAUAUAAUUCCAGGAUAUCCGCUAGACAAACAGUAGAGUUUUUGAUGGAAGUUGUAAAUCCCAUAACUUUCUGUAGAAUUCUUUAAAAUCUGUCUAUAAUAAGUUAUUAAAAAUCGAAUCAACUUCUUGUAAUAGUUUAUAGGCACUCCGUACAGAGAACUCUCCGGUCGGUUCACCUUUCCAAACGUGUAAGUCUUCACUGUUCGUUUCUGCAAGUGGUAUCUCCAAAAAUUUUUGAGCUAUAUCUGAUUGAAAGGUACUAAUAAUGACCUCCGUUUUCCACUUCUUAUUUGUUCCAUCAAUUAAAUCUGAUACUAUUUUUAGUUCCCUA